rnacentral:rRNA from 1 species
UGGCGGCGAUAGCGCGGUGGUCCCACCUGACCCCAUGCCGAACUCAGAAGUAAAACGCCGUAGCGCCGAUGGUAGUGUGGGGCUUCCCCAUGCGAGAGUAGGGAACUGCCAGGCU